rnacentral:rRNA from 1 species
UGGGGAAUAUUGCACAAUGGAGGGAACUCUGAUGCAGCGACGCCGCGUGAACGAAGAAGGCUUUCGAGUCGUAAAGUUCUUUUAUAUGGGAAGAUAAUGACGGUACCAUAAGAAAAAGCCCCGGCUAACUACGUGCCAGCAGCCGCGGUAAUACGUAGGGGGGUAGCGUUGUCCGGAAUCACUGGGCGUAAAGGGUUCGCAGGCGGAAAUGCAAGUCAGGUGUAAAAGGCAGUAGCUUAACUACUGUAAGCAUUUGAAACUGCAUAUCUUAAGACGAGUAGAGGUAAGUGGAAUUUUUAGUGUAGCGAUGAAAUGCGUAGAUAUUAAAAAGAAUACCGGUGGCGAAGGCGACUUACUGGGCUCAUUCUGACGCUGAGGAACGAAAGCGUGGGUAGCAAACAGG